rnacentral:rRNA from 1 species
AACAAGGUCUCCGUAGGUGAACCUGCGGAGGGAU